rnacentral:rRNA from 1 species
CGGUUGAUCCUGCCGGAGGCCACUGCUAUCGGGCUCCGACUAAGCCAUGCGAGUUUAGGGGCUCCUUCGGGAGCACCGGCGGACUGCUCAGUAACACGUGGACAACCUACCCUCGGGUGGGGGAUAACCUCGGGAAACUGAGGCUAAUACCCCAUAGGCCUCGGAUACUGGAAGGUUCCGAGACCGAAAGCUCCGGCGCCCGAGGAUGGGUCUGCGGCCUAUCAGGUAGUUGGUGGUGUAAAGGACCACCAAGCCUACGACGGGUACGGGCCCUGAGAGGGGAAGCCCGGAGAUGGACUCUGAGACACGAGUCCAGGCCCUACGGGGCGCAGCAGGCGCGAAACCUUCGCAAUGCGCGAAAGCGCGACGAGGGGAGCCCGAGUGCCCUUCCUUUCGGGAGGGCUUUUCUGGAGCCUAAAAAGCUCCAGGAAUAAGGGCUGGGCAAGACGGGUGCCAGCCGCCGCGGUAAUACCCGCAGCUCGAGUGGUGGCCACUAUUAUUGAGCCUAAAGCGUCCGUAGCCGGACCCGUAAAUCCCUGGGUAAAUCCUGGCGCUCAACGUCAGGAAUUCCGGGGAGACUGCGGGUCUUGGGACCGGGAGAGGCCGGAGGUACUCCCGGGGUAGGGGUAAAAUCCUGUAAUCCCGGGGGGACCACCUGUGGCGAAAGCGUCCGGCUUGAACGGCUCCGACGGUGAGGGACGAAGGCCAGGGGAGCAAACCGGAUUAGAUACCCGGGUAGUCCUGGCUGUAAACGCUGCCCGCUUGGUGUUGUCGGUCUUUCGGGGGCCGGCAGUGCCGGAGCGAAGGUGUUAAGCGGGCCGCUUGGGGAGUACGGCCGCAAGGCUGAAACUUAAAGGAAUUGGCGGGGGAGCAC